GAAGAAGAUGAUUUUUCACCUAGUGGAGUCAUUGAACAGUGGUCUUCAAAUUGGGAUUAUUUCCAAGAAUAGAUUAAAAUGCCAUGAAAAAGAAAAAAUUAUAGAAAAGCAAAAAGAGCUGAAUGCAGUGAAUGAACAUCUGUGAAUGAAGUUGAGAAGGUAUAUGUGGUGAGUAUACAGUGAGCUGAUUCUAAUUAAAAUCCCAUUUUUUCAUUGUGCUUUCUGGUAGCAAAUGCAACAAGUGAUAUUUGUUACAUUAUAUUGUUUUCUUUAUUUUGCAAUUACUUGCAAGCACUUAUCUCCUG
rnacentral:lncRNA from 1 species